CCGUGAAGAGGGGUAUGAGGGGUCUCUGUCUCUUUAUCUCUCAUGCUCCCUCUCUGUCUGUCUGUCUGCCCUGUUUCCUCUCUUUCUUUCCCCUUCUUUCAGUCACUCUCUGUCUCUGCUUCUAUCAUUCUUUCUUCCUUUCUCCCUCUUUUUUUGACAGUCUCCCCCCUCUCUCUUUUGACCGCCCUCUUUUGUGUCAGUCUCUCUUCCUCCAUCAUUCAUUCUCUCAUUCCCUCUCUCUCAUUAAUGUGCUUCCCCAUCCUUGCUCCUCCGUCUGUUCUCUGGGUCUGCACAGGCCCAUAUGGAGCUGAGUGUCGGGCAUGAGAAGCAUUCCGUGAGCUCUGUGCUUGUGACUACAUCUCCCAUGGAGUCCCACCUGAGGCCUUAACAGUCCUACAUCUACAUCCAACAUCAAUUAGGAUCCAACAUCAAUCACUCAUAUGCUAACAGCGCAGAGUAGCCAUGGGGAAAUGGACCCGUGUGAGUGUCCUCAAAAGACACCUCACAGAAAAGGUUUCGAUGCCAGAGAUUUGAAUGUUUUUUUUUUCCAUUUAAAUAAAGGGGAGCGAUUGAAGUGUAAGGGAUGUGCUGUCCUACAACACUUUAUGAGGAAAUAAUUGACCAGGUUUAGGUGUUCAAAUGAUUGAAAUAAAACUGUGAUAGGUCAUUUAAUCUCUCUGAAAUAGACCUUGGAACCCACCAGUAUAAUUUCCCAUUGCUCUUCUGUUUUGCUCCUCAGCAACCUGGCAACCAAGAAUCCAAUCAUCGAUCGAAGUUGGCUGCAUUUUAUUUAUGUGCGAGGCUAUUUACAUUUAUAUGAAUCUGAACUUUUGCUGGAUGCCUCUUUUCAAAUGAAAACACUGAACUAGAUCAAUAUUCUUUAAUAUCACGCCAGGAGUGUUUUGUGAAAUCAAUGAACUGUAAUGCAACGCUGCUGUGCUAUAAUUUUGCAGAGCCAUAGCAUAGUGAAGUCUUAGGUUUAGGGUGAACAGAGGCGUAAAGAAGAGCCGUACAGGCUGAGAUGAGCAGUAAUUCUACUAGGCUGUUUACGUAGAGUUCGGCUGGGAGGGGAUUAACUUCGACCAAAAAAGUUCCUUGUCUUUUUUUUUUUUGCACUAGUUUAUCACUGUCAGUGCAGAAUGAUUAAUGAGACACAUCUUUUAGUCACAGGAACUGUUUUGCCGUGUCGUGUUGCCCCGCUCUGGAGAUGGAGAGGAGGGGAAGAGGGGAAAGUCUUAUCUUCCCGCCGAAGGCGUCACCCUGUCAGCCGCAGCUGACGUCGGCCGUGACUCAGCAUCUGCUUCCAGGCCCAACGAGCCCAGCUUCCCUCAGGGCGUCUCAUUUCCUGCCAUUUCCUCCCGCCUGUCAUCAGCCAAGGCCACUUGAGGAAACACCAUACAAAAAGGUUCAAUUAUUGUAGAGUAAAUAAAAUGCUGUACUUAGCAAUAUGCCAUUAACUAAUAUAAUCAUCCAUAAGGGCAUAGGAUUCCCUGCUUCCUGUCUUCAUUCAAGACCACUUGGGGCAACACUUUGCAUACAGUAAGGUUUGAUUAAUAAAUAUUAAUUCAAUGCUGUAGUGGCUGUUUGCCAUUAUUCAAGACCAAAGCUGGUCCUAGACCAGCUAAGACCAUGACUUAGGCCUUAAUUCCAGGGCUGGUUGCUAUCUGGCCAGUUACUGGUUAAUACCAAUUUUAUUCAGUCUCUCUGUUUAGGUCUAUAAGUACACACAUAAGCCGUUCUAAAUCCCAUUAGAAUCAGAUGCAUGUGUGGAGAAACAAACAAAAGCUUUUGUCAGUGUCAGAAACACAUGCUGAGGCUCGGGCUUAGCGCCUCAACGAGAGGCUCCACUAAUGGGAUAAACUGACAGCAGAAUCAGUGAAUUACGGCUGAUACUGAUAUGCUUGAUGGAAACGGUAAUUUAGUCACCUUUGAAUCUUGAUUUGUGUAUUAAUUAAGGAAGUUGUGUGUGGAUGUUGACUCAUUAAAACAUAUUUUAGCGAGGUAGCAGGAGCAGCAUGGCAGAGAUCUCAGUUUUACUGCAGCUCCUGGGCCCCAUACACCACAUGACCCUGGGACAGCAGUGCUAUAUUGGCCACUUGGACACACAGUAAACACAAGGCAAACAGGAUGGUGGUCUAAUCUUGACACAAUGAAGACAUUGAUGGUGCACAGAAACGCUAACUAGCAUCGAGGGCUAACACGCAGGCAUUGCAACAUAACACAUGGACUAAAAUGAUGACAGUAAUGCAUGCCAAUACUAGACACAAAAGGGAGACAUUGCAACAUUCCGAAACCGAACACUUAUCCACAUAAUUCUGACAUUCACACUGAACAGGAGAGAAGACACUGAAUUCUGGGAACUGCAUUACACACACACGCACACACACACACACACACACACACACACACACACACACACACACACACACUCACACAUACACGGAAGCUACUCUACUCCCCUGCACACUUCAAUAUUCUCUCUAGUUGUAAAACGCAGGGUUGCUUUUUAUAGAGACCUAAUCAGGUUUUAAAGGCACUGGCGCAUUUAUUAAACGAUUUGAGGUUAACACUUUUCCAGUUAAUGACGAGGACAGUAGAAUUGCUUUUGUGCGAGAGGCCACUGUUGAGCCUCCUGGAGGUGUUGUGGGCCUAAUUCAACGAAUCACUGAUGAAGAGAUGUACCCACUUGACAAUCCCGUUGAAAUGCUCACAAAGGCAUCUUUGCUGUUGUUGUUGUUGUAGUUGUAGUUGAUCAGUAUAGUUAGUGUUUGGUAUGUUGGUUGUAGUGCAGUCUGUUGUUAUAAUACUUAAGCUAGGUUGUUGGGUAUGAGUACUUGCAUGUGACAGUGAGAGGUCUGGUCACUGUGGGAAAUCCCCAACCAAUAGCACAAAGAAUGUAACAUCUUUUCCAGUGUAUCAACUAAAAUUAGAUGUUUAUCGCUCACUCUUUGGAGUACACACUGGAGCACUGCUUGCACAUUUGAACUCACCAGUUCUCUCAAUACUAAUUCCAUGCCUAAGGCAAGGCCAGUUUGGUUAUGUAGCACAAUUCAUAGACAAUGGUUUUUCAAAGUGCUUUAUAAAUGAGCAGAUAACGGAGAUAGAAAAUGAUCCUAGUUAAUGAGAUAUGUUGUGAUGUGGAUUUUUAUGUUAGUUUGUUUUUUUCCCUGUCUCACUGUUUUCUGCCAGAACAAAAUAAAUGGAUUAUUACCUUUGGCUCUGGUUUAGUCCAUGUUCCUGCCCCCAGCGCAUUUAUCGGUAAAAUGUGCUGCUCCAUCUGUGAUGAAUACUGUCACUACAGCCAUGUUGUUCAACCCUGAUGCAUAACUUAUGGCAACUACAAUAACAAUUUGUAAAUCUUACCCAAGAAAAAUUCACCCCGGCAGUUUAAAGACUUUCAAGUAAGGGCUUAAAUAAGGUAACAUUUGCACAGAGUACAGGUUUAGUCGACUGAGUAAGUCAUAAGGAGACUAAGGAACUAAACUCUUUAGAUUUUCACUCACAUUACACAAAGACUGUUCGUGUCGAUGCCUUUGCCUCAUUAUAGACUAAUAAACUCUAUAUGGCUGCAGUGGAUCGGUGGACCUAGUCUAGUUUGUUCAUUAGUUUUCUGUUUUCUUGCGUUCUUUACAUAGAAUCCUAUUAAUAUUUCAGAACAUGGCAAGUUGGUCUUGAAGAAGACAAGGUGUGUGUUGGUCUCGUCAUUAGUUUUUCUGACACACAGCCAAGUAAUUCUGCUCGCCCCAGGGCUGAGAUUCCUUUCGUCUUUAUUUACAUCAGUACUCACACUCAUCCCACUCGCUGGAAGGUCACUUUACACCAAUCAAAUGUGACUUGAAGAAUAAGUAUGAAUAUGCCAAUGCCAACAAGUCUGCAAAAUAAUUAUUUACAAAACUUAACUGACUUAAAUUGCCUCCCUGAACAAAAGGAGACUGUAAGAGUAUCUUUCCUGUGUGUUUUCAUCACCUCCAAGAAAAGACACUCAGUACAACCAGAAGAAGAGAAGAGCACAACCACUGUAACCCCUCUAUGACCCUUUUUUUCUGUGGAUUUUUCUCUAUGAAGUCUUUUUCUCCGGCGAGGAGGGGAAAGGGAAUAAAGAAUGAGGACUGUAACUCUAGGCCCCUUAAUCAGGUAGCCAUCCUGAGGCUAUGGGGGAAAUGGCUAUUCAGAGCUAGACAUGACUGACUGACAUAUUGACCAAUGACCUUUUGACCUCAUCUCUUUUCCUGACAACUUUACCCUUCAGGCCCCUGUGGUUGAACAUAAGGACCCAUGACUGACUGCACACAUUUACUGCAAAUAAAUGUCCUGACCAACAGGGGGAGCUAGUGUACUCAAAGGCCGGUUCUUAGUUUAAAAAAAAAAAUUAGGACAGAAAUAUGAAGACUGACGAGAGAAGUUGCCUGGGUAUUUAUACCCACAUUUUAAAACUUGAUUAGUUUUCUUUCUUUAACCUUUGGCACAAUAGCUGUAAGGGAAAAUCAGUUCCAUCGCUGUGUGGAAAGUUGUAUGACUUCAAGCAUGGUGGUAAUUAAUCAGACAAAGAAGACUGAACAAUAUGGCCACUUAAAAUGUAAAUGAAGUCGUUUGGUAUUUUAAGACUGUGACAUUUUAAUUAAAUGAAAGAGACAUUAAAUUAACAUAUGGGUGCCCUCGUGACAAUAUCAUCACAUGAUAAUGCAAGGACAUUUAACUAGAUGUUGAAAAAUAUAAAUGUAUAUUCCAGAAAAAAAUAUUUCUGUAUGUUUUAUGCAUGUUUGUUUUUAUGAUUUAGAUACACUUGAGGACUGAAGAGUUGCAGGAUGAAAUCAUCAGAAAAUCUAUAGGCUGGCAACUACAAUGUAUGCCAAUUAAUUCCAUAAUUAUGCCAGGAUAGAUUUAAUUCAGGGGAGAUGGGUUUUACCAGGAGCACUGGUUCAAACACUCC
ensembl:lncRNA